GCUCAGACACUCAAUGAUUGACGGGCCGCACAAGCGUGGAGUAUGUGGUUUAAUCGAUGCAACGCGAAGAACCUUACCUGGUCUUGACAUCCCGGAGACCCUUAGGAAACUAGGGGUGCUUCCAUCUGGAAGAAUCUGGAGACAGGUGCUGCAUGGCUGUCGUCAGCUCGUGUCGUGAGAUGUUGGGUUAAGUCCCGCAACGAGCGCAACCCUUGCCUUUAGUUGCCAGCAGUUCGGCUGGGCACUCUAAAGGGACUGCCGGUGUUAAACCGGAGGAAGGUGGGGAUGACGUCAAGUCCUCAUGGCCUUUAUGACCAGGGCUACACACGUACUACAAUGGCCGAUACAAAGGGCAGCGACACUGCGAGGUGAAGCCAAUCCCGUAAAAUCGGUCUCAGUCCGGAUUGGAGCCUGCAACUCGACUCCAUGAAGUUGGAAUCGCUAGUAAUCGUGGAUCAGCAUGCCACGGUGAAUACGUUCCCGGGCCUU
rnacentral:rRNA from 1 species